GGAAGAGAGACCUGAGCUGGCACAUGUGCUCUUGCCUUCUCGUCAUGUGAUGCCCUCUGCCAUGUUAUGACACAGCAAGAAGGCCCUCACCAGAUGCCAGCAUCAUGCUCUUGGACCUCUCAGCCUCCAGAACUGUGAGCUGAAUAAAAUUAUUUCCUUUAUAAAUUACAUAAUUGGUUGUAUUCUGUUAUAGCAACAGAAAAUGGACAAAGAUAUGGAGCAAGGGGCAGAAUGAUUCUUGAAGAUGCCGAGUAACUUCUGGAAAACAACAUGACGAACCAAAUAAUACCCCUAAGGAGUUUUGAGGGGGAUGGAAUUGAAAAGAGGAAUGUGAGCAGUGUGAUUCGAAUGCUGUUAGAGGAGUGUGAUGCACGCUUCUUCCUCAGCAACAUGGACAAAGCUGGAGGCUAUUACCCUAAGAUAACUAACGCAGGAACAGAAAACCAAAUACUGCAUGUCCUUGCUUCUAAGUAGGAGCUAACCACUGAGUACAUGUAGACACGAAGAGGGGAACAGUAGAUAUUGUGGCUUACCUGAAGGUGGAAGAUGGGAGGAAGGUAAGGAUCAAGAAAACUACCUAUUACGUUCUAUGUUUAAUGUCUGAAAAAUGAAAUAAUAUGUAUAGCAAACUCCAGUGACAUGUAAAUUACCCAUGUAACAAACCUGUACAUGUUCCCUCUGAAUCUAAAAGUUGGAAGAAUAAAAAGACUG
rnacentral:lncRNA from 13 species